rnacentral:rRNA from 1 species
UAGGGAAUCUUCCGCAAUGGACGCAAGUCUGACGGAGCAACGCCGCGUGAGUGAAGAAGGAUUUCGGUUCGUAAAACUCUGUUGUUAGAGAAGAACAGCGCAUAGAGUAACUGUUAUGCGUGUGACGGUAUCUAACCAGAAAGCCACGGCUAACUACGUGCCAGCAGCCGCGGUAAUACGUAGGUGGCAAGCGUUGUCCGGAUUUAUUGGGCGUAAAGCGAGCGCAGGCGGUCAAUUAAGUCUGAUGUGAAAGCCCCCGGCUCAACCGGGGAGGGUCAUUGGAAACUGGUUGACUUGAGUGCAGAAGAGGAGAGUGGAAUUCCAUGUGUAGCGGUGAAAUGCGUAGAUAUAUGGAGGAACACCAGUGGCGAAGGCUACUCUCUGGUCUGUAACUGACGCUGAGGCUCGAGAGCGUGGGUAGCAAACAGG